GGACCAUUAGCUUAGUUGGUUAAAGCAAACGACUCAUAAUCGUUGGAGCGUAGGUUCAAGUCCUACAUGGUUCA
rnacentral:tRNA from 1 species